rnacentral:misc_RNA from 1 species
CUUCAAGUGGACCUGAACUGUAUUCCAUUGUGAUGAAAGAAGAGGCUUGUCCAUAAGUUAUUCGAGGGGAGAUCCCAGCAGCAUUCCACCAACUACUAUCGGAAGGAGCAAGAUCACCCUUAAUGUCAGAAUCCAGAGUAGAAGACUCCUUUUGACUACAGUUGUCUCCACAAGUCUCAUCCAUGUCAUUGUAUAUUAGCUUUAGAGCCUGCACUACUUCACCCAUAAAGGGUCUGUUAGUCACCUCUGGAUGAACACACAUUGAAGCAAUGGCUGCCACCUUAGCCAUGUCGUCAAAGUCAUAAGUUCCUGCCAACGAAGGAUCCACCAACUGCUCCAAUCCUUCUCUACUGGUAAGCAAUGGACGUGCCCAAGUCACUAAAUUUUCCUCUCCAGGAGGUUGGGACAUGUCCACAGGUUUUCUUCCAGAUAGA